rnacentral:rRNA from 1 species
GACGAACGCUGGCGGCGUGCUUAACACAUGCAAGUCGAACGGAAAGGCCCUGCUUGCAGGGUACUCGAGUGGCGAACGGGUGAGUAACACGUGGGGGAUCUGCCCUGCACUUCGGGAUAAGCCUGGGAAACUGGGUCUAAUACCGGAUAGGAGCCAUUUUUAGUGUGAUGGUUGGAAAGUUUUUUCGGUGUAGGAUGAGCUCGCGGCCUAUCAGCUUGUUGGUGGGGUAAUGGCCUACCAAGGCGGCGACGGGUAGCCGGCCUGAGAGGGUGGACGGCCACAUUGGGACUGAGAUACGGCCCAGACUCCUACGGGAGGCAGCAGUGGGGAAUAUUGCACAAUGGGCGCAAGCCUGAUGCAGCGACGCCGCGGGGGGGAUGACGGCCUUCGGGUUGUAAACUCCUUCCGCUAGGGACGAAGCUUUUUGUGACGGUACCUAGAUAAGAAGCACCGGCUAACUACGUG